rnacentral:rRNA from 1 species
GUGUCAGCAGCCGCGGUAAUACGGAGGUGGCAAGCGUUGUUCGGAAUUACUGGGCGUAAAGGGCGCGUAGGCGGCAAGGCAAGUCAGGUGUGAAAGCCCCGAGCUUAACUCGGGAAUUGCAUCUGAAACUGCUGUGCUUGAGUUCUGGAGGGGGUAGUGGAAUUCCCAGUGUAGCGGUGAAAUGCGUAGAUAUUGGGAGGAACACCUGCGGCGAAGGCGGCUACCUGGACAGAAACUGACGCUGAGGCGCGAAAGCUAGGGGAGCGAACGGGAUUAGAUACCCCGGUAGUCC